AUUGUGGGAGCGCAGUUCCUCCUUUCUAUGCUCGCACGCAGCGCGGAGCAUGGCGUCCCCGGGAGCUGGGGCAUGGGAGGCGGUUGUGGCGUGGGAUCUAGGGUGUCUGCAGCGGACUCGGCGGCCGUGUGAGGCGCUCGGCCCGCCGGACCCCGCCUGAAGCGGGUCGGUGUGGAAACCGAGCGCCGUUUGGAUGUAGAUCUUCGCCGUAGGCCCAGAACUGGGCGGGAAUAAAGCGAAGACCCAGGUCACACGGUGAGUACCUGAAGCUUACGGAUAUUUCCUGAACGACACGUGGGAGCACAGAGUGGGUUAAAGGUAGGAUGACUCCAAAGCACUACGCGAUUUCCUUGUAGGUUGGAAUGCCGAAUCCUUAGUCUUACUGGUUCGCUUGUGUUGCCACUACUUAUCUGAAGUAAUGCAGACUAUGAAGUAACUCAUAAGAGACAGCCUUUACCCAUUGGCUAACUUUUAUGACUGUUUGGGUUUUUUCUUUUUUUUUCCUGACUACGUAGUAUUGAACAGAAGUAGGAAAUGUACAUUUACAUUGGUGGCUUGGAAAAUCUGUUUAGAUCAGUAUUAGCUAGAAAAACUGCCAGACCUCUAAGUCAAAAAAAUUGUGUAGUUUUACCAACACUAAAACUAAAGGCUUUGCUGGGGGUUUAUGUUACCAGAUAACUUUUCUGAGAAAGGCACUUUUAAAGCGUUUUUAUCUUUUCUUUUAGGGUGUCCUUGAUGAUUUGGAAAUUUGAUCUACAGAAGCACGAGUGAUUUAAAUUUUCUAGGGGCCGUGUCAAAACUCCAUAGAUGAAUGCUCAUUUGUAACAAGACUAUGAAUAAAUGCUUCGAUGUGCUGUUCUGACACGUGUA
rnacentral:lncRNA from 1 species